rnacentral:lncRNA from 1 species
UUCGUGGACUGAUACCAGCUGGGUCACGUAACAGGGAACCUCCAGGGGCCUGUGGGGGAAAUCCUUUAGGCCCUGCAGGAUUAGGCUCCUGAAGGAUUGGAUGAAGAAUUCGAUUGAGCCAAACAAAUCAUUCGGAUCAUUAGGUAGAAGAAAAGCAACUUUCUCUAAGUGGGGAGAUUUGAAAAAGAUGCCAUCUGAGAGGGAGAUGGAGAGGCAAAAAGAAGACAACAUGACAUUUGUAGUGAUUACGAUGAUGGAGUCUCCUGAAAAAAACAAGGACACACACCUUGGCGAGAUGUAUGCACAGAAGCAAAGACCUGAGGUUUGUCCUCAUACGACGGCGGCUUUUGUAAGGAAUGACCUAUGGGCCUGGGGCCUGAGGUCUGAGAACCCACGCUGAGGAACUGAUCAAAAUCCCAGUGUUGGUUUCACCCAGUGAGCGACACUCACACUCUCUCAUCCCUGCCAGCCAUGCUCCACUGGAGCAAGAAAUGCAAUAAUCCUGGCUUUGCCACCUGUCUGCUGUGUGACCUUGGGCAAGACACUUCCCUCCUCUCUGCCCUGGUUACCUCACCUGUAAAAUGGGGAUUAAGACUGAGCCCCAUGUGGAUAGGGACUGUGUCCAACCCGAUUUACUUGUAACCACCCCAGUGCUUAGUAGAGUGCCUGGCACAUAGUAAGCACUUAACAAAUACCUUAAUUCUUAUUAUUACAGUGUUUUGGGGGCAAUAGAAGUGGGGUUUGGUUGGGAUUUAGGACUGAAAACCCCUGCUUAUGGCACAGUCAUGUAGAAUUUUUGCAAGCUGCUACUUCCCAGGCAGCUACGAAAUACUGUUACCACUUAAGAAAGAGAGCAGAAAUGGCAAAAUCACCACUGCG